rnacentral:rRNA from 1 species
GACGAACGCUGGCGGCGUGCUUAACACAUGCAAGUCGAACGGAAAGGCCCUGCUUUUGUGGGGUGCUCGAGUGGCGAACGGGUGAGUAACACGUGAGUAACCUGCCCUUGACUUUGGGAUAACUUCAGGAAACUGGGGCUAAUACCGGAUAGGAGCUCCUGCUGCAUGGUGGGGGUUGGAAAGUUUCGGCGGUUGGGGAUGGACUCGCGGCUUAUCAGCUUGUUGGUGGGGUAGUGGCUUACCAAGGCUUUGACGGGUAGCCGGCCUGAGAGGGUGACCGGCGACAUUGGGACUGAGAGACGGCCCAGACUCCUACGGGAGGCAGCAGUGGGGAAUAUUACACAAUGGGCGGAAGCCUGAUGCAGCAACGCCGCGUGCGGGAUGACGGCCUUCGGGUUGUAAACCGCUUUCGCCUGUGACGAAGCGUGAGUGACGGUAAUGGGUAAAGAAGCACCGGCUAACUACGUG